rnacentral:rRNA from 1 species
UAACGAAUCUUCCGCAAUGGGCGAAAGCCUGACGGAGCAAUGCCGCGUGUGGGAUGAAGCGCCUUCGGCGUGUAAACCACUGUCAGGGAACGGAACCAAUGAUUGUUCCCAAAGGAAGUGGCGACUAACUCUGUGCCAGCAGUCGCGGUAAUACAGAGGCCACAAGCGUUAGUCGGAAUCACUGGGCUUAAAGGGUGCGUAGGCGGGCUCGCAAGCGUCUUGUGAAAUCCCAUGGCUCAACCAUGGAAUUGCAGGGCGAACUGCGAGUCUUGAGGCAGGUAGGGGCCGGAAGAACAGUAGGUGGAGCGGUGAAAUGCGUAGAUAUCUACUGGAAUGCCGAUGGGGAAGCCGUCCGGCUGGGCCUGUCCUGACGCUGAGGCACGAAAGCGUGGGGAGCAAA